UUUUGCUUCUCUCUAAAAAUUUUCCCUUCCAUGCCCAGUGAGGUGGCUAAAGGUGGGGCCACAUGAGGCAUGCAGAGACAUCUGCAGAAGGGCUCUUGCUGAACUAAAAGCCUGUGCUGCUGCACACCAAACCAAAUCCACCAGCUGAAAGAUUAUACAGAAGAAACAGGCUUUCUUUUAAAAUAAGGACAUUAUCUUCAAUCUCAGUCACUACUCGAUAUCACAACACAGGGAGAAGGGGAAGGACCAGGGAGCUGCAAAACACUAGAGAAACACCAAACAAGACAAGGCUUUGAGGGAGAAAAAAGGGGGGGGAAAUAAAUGCCAAACUAAGAGCAGGCAGGACUGAACAUGUGGCAGCACAAAGAAGCACCACCUUCUCCAAGCCUCUCAAACCAUUUUCUCACAACCUGAGAAACACUCUCCCCUUCCUCUGUGGCAAAAGGAAGUUUUGCCAAUGGGGUGGAGUGUAGCAAGGAUCUCAGUGGAGCCACAUCAGGAAUCUGACAUGCUGAACACAGGUGUCACCUAAACAGAGGUUUUUACCCAUAGAGAUUUUUAUCACCCAUUUGCUUUUCCUUUGUUAAAUGAGUCCAGCUACAUCAGUACAAACCCUAGCCCUGUGUUAUUCACAGUGUCACCAGUAAUGGGCUAUUCCCCAGCUCCUGGCACUGUUCACAACAACCCACAGAUCAAAGAUAGAAAAAUAAAAAACCAUCCAUCAAAUGCUAGGGUGGAGCCUGGAGUGUCUUUCAUAUCUGCAGGCAUUGAAAGGGCCUUUUUCCUCCUUAUGGUUCCCUUUAACCCAUGCAGGGGCUGCCUGACACCAAGUGUGGGUCAUGCUGGUGCCUCUGCAAAGCCGUGGGGACUAGAGGGAAACCAGGAGAAAAAAUAGGGAGUUGUUUUUCCCCAGUUGGGUCACAUUUGGGAAGGAGCCUGCAGAGCCUCAGGGGAGGGAGGGAUCAGCUUUAUCAUCCUUGGUGAGAUGAGGCCAUUUCAGAGCAGUGCAAUGAGAAAGUGUCUCAACAUCCUCCCAAGAGGGGCACGAGGGAUGGGGCAGAGCAGUGCUCAGCUCCAGCCCCGACUCCAAUGCCCCCACAGCAAGCGAUGGAGCCCUGUGGAGAUGUGCACCAGACAUUCCAGAAAAACCCUGUCAUCUACACCAAGGCAGCCACUGGUGAUUCUGCCAAGGAUGGAACAACCCAAGACAACCCAAUGUGGGCCAGCUGGCAUUAAGCCAUAUACGUACACAAAAGAAAAAAAAUUGUUUUGACCCAUAAGACCAGUAUUCCAAAAGGAAAAGGCAGGGUUGCUUAUAGAAAUCACAUUGUUAAGUACGUUUUCCUCCUCUUCCCUUCAAGGACCACUAUUGUCCUCCUAACUCUAAGGGAACAGGCAGGGGAGGAAGUUUUGUUGAAAGUCACUUCAGCAUCAAGUGUCUGACUGGGCCACAGAGCCUCCUGGGAAUUGUAGUCUUGUCUUCUCCCAUAAAAAUUGCUUUUUCUGGCAAAAUUCCACAGCAGUGUGAUACCUCCAUGACACAGCAACAACCCCCCUGCACAAUCAAGGGACAGCAGACCCCUGGACUUUAGUGGCUACAAGACAAUCCCGGGGCCGCUCAGGAGCCAAACCUUAUCAGAUUUGGCCAGAAUAUUUCAGUUUUCUUUCACACCCUUCUCCUCUCACAGAAUUCCCAUGGAAACACAAACAAUGCUCAUGCUGUUUGGGUUUGGUUGGGGCUUUUUUCCUUCUCUCGGCGAGGGGGGGGGUGUGUGUGUGGAUGAAAGUGGUAAAGGAAAAACUCAAAAAACCCUUAAAUAAAAAGAGAAGAAGAGGAAAAAAAUAUUGAAUAAUACAUGAGAUACCACGUCUUGCUUGAUUUUCUCGACAGCAGUGCAUCUCCCCUCUGUAUCACCCCUUCAGAGCCUCAGGGGACAGAAAUGUGCCUCAGAACUUAAAUAAUAUAUAUUUCUUGUAUCACAAACUUGCUUUUGGGCAGGAAAUGCCCGAAUCCAAGCUGUCCCGCCCUUUUCCUCACUGUGCAUGGUUCCAGAGAUACCUGGAUGCCACCGUGUGGCAGCUGCCCCAAGCAGCGGUGGAGAGACAGGGCUGCAGGGAAAGACAAGGCUUUAAGCAGGAAAAAGAAGGGGGGAAAUAAAAUUAAAAGGGGAAUUGGUUUUUUUUUUUUUUUUUUUUUUUUUUUUUUUUUUUUUGCAGCAAUUCACAAAACUUCAAGGAAUGCCAAGCACGUCAGUAGAUGAAGCACAGGAUCUGGAGGAAGGAGAGAGUGCAAACCAGCUCCGUAUGGUGUUGAGCUCAGACACACACUGCCUUUCUAUUUAAAGCCCUGCAGGAACGUGAAUGCCAGGAUACAACCCACCUUUUCCUGCUGGAAGACAGAACUCUGGAUCUGGAUCUGGAAAGGUAUUUAAUUAAUGACAGAGACCAUUGGGACUUCCCUGGGCUCCAAAUCAGCUUUGGGAUGAGGACAUGGGCUGCAGAGUGUUUAAUGCUGCUGCCCACCCCUCCCUUUUCCCUCCACGUGGGAAACAAUGCUGGGUGGAACUCUGAAGAUGAGGACUGUGCUACCAACGCUGUGUCCCCAGCACAUCCUGCAGGCCAAACCAUCCUGGCAAGGCCAGAACAUCCUUCCUCCUCUACCAGCACCCUAAAACUGUCUCCUGCCAGGAGGCAGCAAAAAUAGACCACUCCACAGCCCAGGAUCAGUUUGAGGUAUGCCUCAUUCUUCCACCCUCUGCCUCUGGGGAAUGCCUUAUUCUCCCAUUAAGUACCUCUAGGGUAUGUCUCAGUUUUCCCUCAUCUACCUCAAUGUACUGCUUCUCAUUUAUUCCAAGGUGCAGUUCAUUGAGUGGAGAAUUACAUGUUUUAUCAUUUGUCCAUAACAGGUUGUCAAGUCGCUGUGUUAUUAUUAGCAACAGGAAAGGAACUAAGUAAAUUAUUCUUAAAGUAUGUAAUGAGCACUUGAGUAAGCGUUAAGUAAUGAGCGUUUCUUUAGCGAGGAAUCCAAGCGAGACACACUCCACCCAUUUUGUUAACAAAGGCUUACAUAAGCUGGAUGUUACAUAAAACCCUAAAAUAGGGAGCCAGAGCACUCCCCCACCUUUGGGUGCUAGCUUUGCUGCAGCCCACGGAUACCUGAACUGACACUGAAGCAGCUCCGAGCUAAAAGGCAGCUGAUGGCCAGGCCUGGAGCUGGCAGGAGCCAGUGACAGGGACAGAGGUGUCCUGUGUGUGCUGCCACCAGCCCUGAGCACAGCUCGGGUGGCGAGUCUGGAUUUGCCCACACACUGCUCUGGAAACAGCCCCUGCAGUAACGCGCUCCAAGCGGAUUUAUCAUCCCUGUGAUGGUCCAAGAACGUGUGUCUGUUCUUGUGUGGCAGGGCCGGCUAAGCACCACCCAACCCCAGGGUGUCAUCCCAAGGGAAUUAUGACUGGUGCUUUGGAAGGAGCAUUGCAAGCGGGGCAUGGUUAUGGGGAAGCUUCUCCGCGGCUCUUCCUGUCUUCAGGGAUCUGCAGGAAAGGGACUUUCCACGACAGAAGUUCUAUCUUCGUAAUUUCCCAACUCCUGGCAGCUGAUUCUUUAAAUAAAUUGACAGGUCAGUUCUUAAGUUCUUGUGAACUUUCAACUUCUGCAUCGUCGCGCGACAAAACCCACCACAAUUUACCAUAAUCUAUCUGCAGAGAAAAGGGGAUCUACGUCUUGCAACAUCAAUUACUAGAGCUGAAAAAAGCAGGCUGCUGGGGGUGCAGCCUCUUCAUCACAUCUUGUGUGCCUGAAAGCCUGUCUGUCUUGAGAAAAAUAAUCUGUCUCCAAAAAGAAAUUCUUUUCCUCCCUAGACAUCUUGCAUCACACCUUAAAAUGCACAAUUCCAAUACUCAGCAGAUUCAGCUGACAGCAGUGGUUGCUUCCUAGACACAAGGUCAAAAAAGUCUCAGAGAGGAGAAUUUGUAAUCCUCUUCAUAGCCCAGACACCAAAUCCCCCAAAUUUGGUAUCAGAUGCAGUUGCAUGAGAAGUCAGGAACACGUAUCUGGCUGGGGGGAAGAAAAGAGGAGAGAAAGAUCUUUAGGCAUGGGAUUUUUGGGCAGGCAGAGCAAAACGUGUCAGGAGUUACUCCCUGGACUACAAGGGAGCCAUUCAUGGCUGCAAUCAGUUUGCUCUGCGGUACUUGCAGGAACAUGCCAAGGCUGCUCUGUGAUUCUGCCCGACUGACUUAGUGUUUGUGAUUUGCCUGACCUUUGCUCUAAAUAAAUGGGAGCCACACAGGAGGAAUUUUGAUGCAAGUACCGUGCAUCUAUAGCAUCCUCCCUGGCUGCAGCCCACUGGCUUCCUGAGGCUUUGUUUUAAGGGAGAGACAGACAGAAGGCAGGCAGGAGGGGAAAAUGAAGAAAUGAAAUGCAAGCUGUCUGACCCACACAAUUAAAAAAAAAAAAAAAAAAAAAAAAAGUAAGAAAAAGAAAUCAGAAUAGCCUGGCUUUGUUUUCUGUCAUGUUGUUUAUCUUCAGAAUUAAAUCCAGAUGACAUAGAUAAGACAGGGGUGACCCCUAGUGCCCUAUCCAGCUGCAGCUUCUACUAUUAUUCCCUGUAUUGAUAUUAGAGCAUAAACUGAGGGAAGAAGCAGCACCUUUCAGAUUUGUUCUUCAUUCACAAAGCCUCUCUCUCCCCUUUCAGAAACAAGAUCUCAUUUCCUCUCACUACUGAAACUCUAUCACUGCGAGGCAUUCAGUGCAACAUCCCUUUGUCGCUGUUGUCUGGGAACAAAAUUGAGCACAUUUACUUGUGUAAGAACUUAUUAUAUUCCAUUGACUAUUUAUCAUAGGACAUUUAUAUUUAUCACCUUACAUAAAAGAAAGAAGAGCCUAUUUUGCAAACUCCAGGCUUGUCAAUAGCUAAGAACAGCCAUUCAAACUCCUAAGAAGUGACCUUUGUCUUGUAAAAAGUGUAUUUUGCAGCAGGAAGGCGCUGAAAGGAGCCAGUCUUUCCUGUGACAGCCGUCAGUAUGCACCACUUUUUUUUUUUUUUUUUUUUUUUUUUUUUUUUUUUUUUU